UUUGCCUUAUGUAAGAUGGAAAGCAUGGAGUUUUGUGAGGAUUCCUUAGUAUUUGUGGUUCUUUGUAUUUGAGAUCCUACCAUGGAAAGCACUGAAGAAGAGCAAAUCAUUAUCACUGCUUAAGUUUGCUUUAGGUCCCACAUAUUUGUCUUAUUCUCAUCAUACUUCUGUUUUGAAAAAGUUACAGUUCUUGCUAUUCUAGUUCUUCUUUUCUUUCCUGUCCUUGUCUUUUCUAUUGCCCCAAAUGUCCUUGACUUUAUCCUCCUCCUUUCUGAUCUCAUGGUUCCUUUGAGUCACACCUCUCUCUUUCGUUUCAUUGUGGAGCUUUUUAUUGUCAAGAGCUCAACUUCACACUAGGACUUCCUCUCAACCCAAAGACUUUGGAACAAAGAUGACAAGGUCUCUUUAGUGCAAAAGCCAGAAAUAGGAGAGAGAUUUAGCAAGCAAGUCUAUAGCAGCAAAGAAAGUAAAAAAAAAAAAAAAAAAAAAAAAGAGAGAGAGAGAGAGACGCUUAUGAUCAGAUAGUUUCUGCAGAAACAAGUUCCACGGAGGAUUCCUAGGUUCAACACAAACUUAGAGGAAAGAUCAUCUUGUAAUGAACUCUGCACAUCACUUACUGCAGUUCUGGAGAUUUCCUUGGAGAUCUAUCAUCCAAUUUCCAGAGUCAUGGGAACACUGUAACACAUGUACCUGCUUUUGCUUACAAACAAUGCCUCCUGAAAAAACCCUAACAAUCACUGAUGUUCAAAAUCUCUUAGCUGAUUCCACAGAUGGGAAACCAGGUGAACAGCUUAAUUGACUGUAUGCUUUAAGUGAAACUUCUUUUUGUUGCCAUUCACCACCCAGUAUCAUUCCCCCAAAGAAAGCUUUCCAUGUUGUGACCUUAAGCAAGAUUAAUUUCCUGCCACCCAACAGUAAGUUGGUAAAUCUGGCAAAUAUAUACUCAAGUGUAUUUAGGCCAUCUAAUUUGAGGGAAAACAGCUGUUGUCAAACAGCUGGUGAGGUUCCAUCUUUGAGAUUAUCCACUUUCUUCAUAUGUCCCAAAUGCAAGUGAAGAUCAGACUAGAUAUUAACAUAGCACUGAAAAAAGGAACUCUCAAGUUAGCAAAACUCAGGAGGGACAAAUGAAAACACAAUAUCUACCUGUUAGUUUAUAAGCUGUAGUCUUUUCAUAUGGCAAAAUUGUUCCCAUAGUCUGGGAACAAUUUACUUUAUAGAGACCUAUCCUAUCUGGCAAUAUGUUCCUCAAAGUAGUAUUGGGUAUGGAAGUUUCUAAUAAGAGACUAACCUUUCUUGCUACAGACGAAGCUUUAAAGACUCACUGAGGCUUCCUGGAAAUUCCUAAGAAACAUUUUUGUUUUUUGUUUUUUUAGAGCUGAAUACUACCAAACUUUGGACAAGAUCAGAGCCAGAUAUGAACUUUGCAGCUGUCCUUUAGAUUUUUAAUGGGCUAAACCAAACUGUAUCAUACGACACACACUGAACUCAGAACACUUUAAAGUUAGGGUUUGAACAAUGAGACUUGGGUCCAUUUCCAGUUCCUUGUAGAAAUAAGUUUGCAUCUUUGUCAUAUAGUCUAUUUCUUUUGCUACUCCUGUUCUUUAUUACUGGGGUCAUAUGGCAAAAUACAAGCCCUUUGUGUUUCUGUGUGUAUAUAUCUAUAUAUCUUCCCUAGCAUCUUAUUUCUCAUCUGGAGCUGUAAUCAGUCUCUAAAGAGUCACAUCUAGCUGGAAAGGAAAAGACUGCAGUGCUACCGGCUGUAGGGUCAUCUUCAGAGGGGAACAAGAGCAGAAACAGGGGUAGGAAGCAAAUAUCUUACUGGGGAAAAAUCUCCAUCUCACAGAGCCUCCUGAGAAAGCAUAACUCACCAUCUGACUGUUUCAGACAAUUGAAGCUGACAGAAGCUAAACCAGCAGUUGCACAAAAUACAACAAGAAAGACUUAUACUUACAGGUGGCUUGGAAUGUACUGCAUAAUACUUUAACUGCUAAGCUUCCAUAUCAAGAGGGUCAGCACAAUUGUGGGAUGUCUGUAUGAUGACAGAGAAUACACUCUAAUACCAAUCAGAGCUAGCUGUCUGUCUCAGUUCAUACCCUGGUAGAAAAAUAAGCACUUGUCUGGAGGAAGUCAAAAGAACAGGACACUUUGCUGUCUGAUAGGAGAGGUGAACACACAUACCAAUUUGUCACAAAUCAAUUAACUACAGUAUAGUAGGCUAAAUAGCAAUGGCAGCAAAUGAUUUUUAACAAUAUUAAUUAAUUGGAAUGUUCUUUUGUUUUGUACUAUAUGUUAUUUGUUAUAUUAUAAACUAUAUUAUGUGCUUACUCAUAAACAGCAUUGCUGAGUCACAGAGUGAGUACUACAACAAUGCACACUCAAAGGAAUUGUCACAAAGCUAGUAUGAAUUAGUCUUUCUCAGUAUGGUUUGGGGAAGAUCACAGCUGGAGUAUUACAUUCAGUUCUGGGCAUUUCAUUACAAAGAAUGUUGAAUAGAAAGAAUAGAAAGAAAGAAAUUAGAAAGAAUAUUGACAAACUGAAGGGAAUUCAGAGGAAAAUCAACAAAAAUGAUCAAGUGGCUGAAGGAAUUGACUUAUGAGGAAAAAUGUACCCACUUACAUAAACCUACAACAGCAGGUAAUCAACGCAUUUUAGUGCACCAAACAGAUCAAUCAUUUCUAUUCAUAAAAAUAUUCUUCUUCUCCACUAUAUGAAAACUUAUGGAACACUGAUAGAACUUAAUGUACCCAGGGACUGUAUUCCUUUUGAAAUCUUUAUAACACAUUUCAUAAACUAUAUAUAAAAUCAACAAUGUGUUGUAAAUACAAAUCGUGUUUCCUUUAUGGAACCAAACAAGGGGGUUGACUUAAGGUUCAAUGGGCAGCUAAGAACUGGCAGGAUGAUAAGUAGCGUCGAAUCAUAUGGGACUACAAAACCUGGCUCCGUUCUUUAAUUGUUUAGUUCCAGGCUCACCACAGUUUGGUGGAGUUUUUUUGUAAAUUGUAUUGGGGUAUCAGCCAGAUUCUAAUGAAAGCCAUUCCCCAUCUUAUUUGUUUAUAACACUUUCUCGAGGAGCAAUUUCCUUGGGUUUUGAAUCUGUGCAAGAAAAGAAAAAAUGGAUUGUUGUUUGAGAAUAGGAGACCUGUUCUGUCAGCCCAAAUAAGACCCUUCCUAAAGUGGAUCACUCUGUAGAUGUAGCAGCUUUGUGAAAGGUUUGUGUGAGAUACUUAGGUGGGAGAGAUGCUUGGAUAGGACAUGGAAAUACUGGCCAGUGAUGUCAAAAAAUAAGAGAAGUUAUAAUAAUGCCUAACUCUUAUAUAAUGAUUUUUGUUCAUAGAGCUCAAAGCACUUUGAAAAGGAAGUGAGUAUCACUACCCUGAUUUUACAAGUAGAGAAACCGGGACACAGAGAGAAGUGACUUGCCCAAAGUCUCUGGGUAGGCUGAUGACAGAGCUGGGACUAGAAUCCAGUUCCCCAGCGUCUUUCUCCAAGGUUCGGCCUCCUCAAUGACAAUGCCUAAGAUUUUAUGGUUGUGGGAACCUUGAAUCACUUCAUAUUUUAUAUGUAGAUGAUUGUAAGCAUAUAACCAAUACAAAACCCACUGAUGCUCCCUGUCUGCAGCUAUGCCUGCCACAAACUUGGUACACUCUUUGUGAUCCCCUGCUAACUGGUGUUCAGUACUUUCUGCUGCUUUCUCCAAAGAACCCUUCAGUUCAGCUGUCUCCACUCUAGUGCAUUUCCUGGC